rnacentral:rRNA from 1 species
UACGGAGGGGGCUAGCGUUGUUCGGAAUUACUGGGCGUAAAGCGCACGUAGGCGGUUCGUUAAGUCGGAUGUGAAAGCCCUCGGCUCAACUGAGGAAGUGCACCCGAAACUGGCGAGCUUGAGUACGAAAGAGGAUCGCGGAAUUCCCGGUGUAGAGGUGAAAUUCGUAGAUAUCGGGAAGGAACACCGGUGGCGAAGGCGGCGAUCUGGGUCGAUACUGACGCUGAGGUGCGAAAGCGUGGGGAGCAAACAGGGAUUAAGAAACCCCGGUG